UAAGCGUAUGGCUUUUCCCCUC
rnacentral:miRNA from 1 species